CGGCGUGCUUAACACAUGCAAGUCGAACGGGAUCUGCGUGGCCUUUGUGGUUGUGUGGUGAGAGUGGCGAACGGGUGAGUAACACGUGAGUAACCUGCCUUUUUCUUUGGGAUAACGMUCAGAAAUGGGUGCUAAUACUGGAUGUUCUGCGCUUUCCGCAUGGGGGGUGUGGGAAAGGGGCCUUUGUGGUUUCUGGAGGGAGAUGGGCUCGCGGCUUAUCAGCUUGUUGGUGGGGUGAUGGCUUACCAAGGCUUUGACGGGUAGCCGGCCUGAGAGGGUGGGCGGUCACAUUGGGACUGAGAUACGGCCCAGACUCCUACGGGAGGCAGCAGUGGGGAAUUUUGCACAAUGGGGGGAACCUUGAUGCAGCGACGCCGCGUGAGGGAUGGAGGCCUUCGGGUUGUGAACCUCUUUCGCUCGUGUGCAAGCCGCUAUUUGGGUAGUGGUGAGUGUAGCGGGUAAAGAAGCGCCGGCUAACUACGUGCCAGCAGCC
rnacentral:rRNA from 1 species